UACGUAGGGUGCAAGCGUUGUCCGGAAUUAUUGGGCGUAAAGAGCUCGUAGGCGGUUUGUCGCGUCUGCUGUGAAAACUCGAGGCUUAACCUCGGGCCUGCAGUGGGUACGGGCAGACUAGAGUGCGGUAGGGGAGAUUGGAAUUCCUGGUGUAGCGGUGGAAUGCGCAGAUAUCAGGAGGAACACCAAUGGCGAAGGCAGAUCUCUGGGCCGUAACUGACGCUGAGGAGCGAAAGCAUGGGGAGCGAACAGG
rnacentral:rRNA from 1 species